rnacentral:rRNA from 1 species
AGAGCGAACGCUGGCGGCAGGCCUAACACAUGCAAGUCGAACGAGCCUUCGGGCUAGUGGCGGACGGGUGAGUAACACGUGGGAACGUACCUUUAGGUUCGGAACAACUCAGGGAAACUUGAGCUAAUACCGAAUGUGCCCUUCGGGGGAAAGAUUUAUCGCCUUUAGAGCGGCCCGCGUUAGAUUAGCUAGUUGGUGAGGUAAAGGCUCACCAAGGCUACGAUCUAUAGCUGGUCUGAGAGGAUGAUCAGCCACAUUGGGACUGAGACACGGCCCAAACUCCUACGGGAGGCAGCAGUGGGGAAUCUUGCGCAAUGGGCGAAAGCCUGACGCAGCCAUGCCGCGUGAAUGAUGAAGGUCUUAGGAUUGUAAAAUUCUUUCAGUAGGGACGAUAAUGACGGUACCUACAGAAGAAGCCCCGGCUAACUUCGUGCCAGCAGCCGC